ACUGACUGAUCGAGUUGGUUUUAUCGCCGCUUUUAGCAAUAUUCCAGCAAUAUCACGUCGGGGGACACCAGAAAUGGGCUUCACACAUU